CAAAUUCCUAAGCGUAAUCAAAUGGUGAUUAUACUUCUCCAUUUUUUCCCUGGCAACAGACUACACAAAGGAAAUCCCAUCAAUGUAGAUGUGGUCAAACCCUUCCACCUGAGCAGCUCAGAGGGUUACAAUCCUAUGGGUAUAGGGUACAAUUCAGGAUAUGGUGGAUGGGCCCAGAGAAGUUACAACAGGAGCUACAGUUCCAGAAGUGUUGGAGAGCCCUCGAGGACCAAGGACAGCAGCCACAACCUGACUCCAGGAGUUUGCUCUGCAGAUGCAGAAUUCCACCCUGGAGCAGUCCCCUACUCCAGGAGCUGUUAUGUUGGUAACCAUAGCAUUGACAGUUCCUGUCAAACUGGAGGAGUUCGGGUGGGAAGAGGCACCAACCAAGGUCUGGGAUUCGGCUCAGGAAUUGUGCAUGGAUCCAUCCAGAAUGUAGGCAGUGGGAAAAUCUCUGGAGGUAUAGCAGAAACGUGUCCCGGUGGAGGCUACCUCUCUGGGGGUUACAGACCAGUAGAUGUUCACCCAUUUGGGGAUGGAGGGAUGGGCCCUAGAGUUGUCAGUGGCCCCAUAGUUGUGGGCUGCCACCCUGGAUUUGGAAUUGGAAAUAUUGGUGGACCGUGUUUUGGCAUCCCAGCUGCAGGAGGUUUUGGGGUUUCAGGAGGGAUGCCUUGUGUAGGAGCAGGUGGUCCUCUCGAUGUGUGUUAUCCUGGAGCAGUACAAGCUCCUGUGGGUGUCUGUUACCCUGGACAAGUAGGUGAUAUUUGCUUCACUGGAGGAGUAGCACCUCUGUAAGUAGCUGCUACUCCUCUGGAAGCAGGAGAGGCCCCUUAAGAAACCCCACAGUUUAAAAAAUCUUUGUAAAACUUCCCAUUUUGGAAAGAAAUUCAUUCUCAAUUUCUUAGCCGCAGCAAUCAGAACUCCUACUAGCAUUGAGGGUGUGAAACAUUGAUCAUGAAAUAUUUUUAGCAACAUGCCUGCAUAUCUUGGUUCAUCUAAAUUUUUAGUGCCUUUCAGUGCAUGGAAAUUUUCCUGUCCUUUAAGAGAAAUGUCUACUGCUGAAUCAGACAUGCUUCCUCCACUAAUUUGGCACUGGCAGCUUCAUGAAACAUAUUCUUGGAAUUGGUAAUUUAAAACAAAAGAAAAGUAAAGUAAAAACACCUCCCCUCCCUCAAACAUCUCAUACAAGGGGUGCCAAUGUCCUCUAGUUUUUAUUUUAAUUCAGAGAGCUGUAAAAAAAGGAAACUUAGCCUUUCUUUACAAUGCUUAGAAUUGAUUUGUUGUUAUGUGCUUCUGACUGACUGUACCCCUUAACAGAGAUUUCAAGAUAUGUGAGAUCUUCCACUUGUGGCUUACCAUGGGCAUUCCUUGGGAGGUUUCUAUGGAUGAGCAGGAAUAUGAUGCUAAGUCUCCUGAGUUCUGAUCCGGCAUCCGCCCCAUUACGCCCCAUUGACUUUAAGUCAGAUAGAACCAUAACUGAUUUUUAUCCCGCUUUUACAUUAGUGUUUCAUGAUUUGGGAUGGACAAAUCUUUUGUUUUGUUGUACUCGUACUUUGUCAAUCCCAAGCUGUUCCAUUCUGGGAAAAAGGGGCGAUUUUGUUAAGUUCCUGUUUUAAACAAAAAUAACCAAUUCCAUCUCAGCCCACCCAGAAGUUUUCAGCCAUCUCUCAGUGUGGGACUAAACGAAUUGUACUAGCCUACAACGGAUCUGUUACAGAUGAGAUUUUCAGCCAUCUCUCAGUGUGGAAAUAAACGAAUUGUACUAGCCUACA
rnacentral:lncRNA from 1 species